AGCUCCCAAAGUUCGGAUUAUUCCUGAAUAAUCCAAAGGUGAGAUUAUUGAAUCAAAAUCCGUGAAAGUUUGGAUUAUUAUUUUUAAAUUUUCCUUUUUUUCUUUGAAUAUUUUAAAAUUCAAAAUAGAGAACAUAAUAAGGUUGAAGAAGAACAAUUAACAAAGGAGGAAGAACAAAUUCAAAACAAAAGCCUAGGAGAACAACAAUCUAUCUUAGGUUAUUUUUUAUUUUCUUGUGUUUAGUAGUUUUUCCUUUUUAUUUUUAUUAUUUUAUUGAAACUAAUGUGUUUUUUCUAUUUAUUUUGUUUUUGUUUAGUUUUUCAGUGAACAACAGGUAGAAGAUGAAGAAAAUCUUCCUUUGUCUAGUAUAUUUGUAAUUAAAGAAACCAAAGACAAACAUGCAUCAGAUGUUAUAGGUCCAAUUGUGGACCCCACAAUCUUGAGAUCCAUAGAGAGUAUGGAUGAUACUCCAAAGUAAGUUUAACAAUCACUUUCUUGACUUUUUGGUGUUUGAAGUCUUCAAUGUACUUCAAUCUUAAUUAAAAAUAGCAGAUCUAUGAUUGGUAGAGUCAUUAAAUUUUUUUUUUUUUUUUUUUUGGUGAAUUUGUGUGUAUGUUCAUUUUAUUUUAAGCUAUGUUCUUUUUAUGGUAAUGUCAUCUUUAAAAAAAUAUCCACUGGUGUUCUUUUUUGAAAAGCGUAAUGUUCUUCUUUUUGUUUAAUUUGUGUGUGCUUUUUGUAAAUAUGUAAUGUUCUUUAAGGGUUUGCAUAUUAUUGUUUGGCAUGUGUUCUUUUUAGGAAUAUAAAAUGUUCUUUAAGGGUAUACAUGUUGUUCGACAUGUAUUCUUUUUAGGAAUAUAAAAUGUUCUUAAGUGUAUACUGAUCUAUUUGUAUAAAUAAAAAAGAAAAUUUUAAUGUUCUUUUUUGAAUACAUCCUUGAUAAGCGUCAAGUUGAGCUAGUUGGAGAAAUUAAAACUGAAUAUCAAUCACAACCAGAGGUUUAGGAACAAGCAAAGAAGAAGAAAGAUUAUCGAUUCAAGCAAAUUUCUACAAAAAAAGUAACAAGAAGAAAGCUGCCAAUAAGAAAAGUAAGGAUGAUAAAGAAUCAGACAAGCUAGCUAAGGAUAAGGUUGUGGCAGAAGUAGCAAUGAAAAUGAAAAUUACUAUGGAACAGCUAGAAGGGAAGGAAAAAAAGUUGGUGUUAAGGAAAAGGAGGGGUCCAAUGGAGGAGCCUUAUUUCAAAGUUAGAGAAAAAAAUGAAGUUGGUAUCCCACAGUUAGCUUCAUAAUAUAUAUAUAUAACAACGAGUCUUCAAUUGUGGUUUUUCCAAAAGAAGUAUCACAGGAGAUACAUGUAGAGAGAAAAAGAGCUAGAAAUAUAUAGCAUAAAUAGAAAAAGAAUGAUGAUGCGGAUGAUGAAGACAAAGAUGAAGAAGAAGAAGGAGACGAAGGAGUCCUUACAUUGAAGCCAAGGCAUAUAGUUCAGCCUUUGAUGCAAUUGAUUAGUACUUUACAAGAUAAGGAAGAUAAAUUGGAAGCCAUAAGGAUCGGAGUAUGGGUUUUGGUGGGUUGUUACACAUUAACUUACCAAGGUAUUCUCCAAAAUUUGCUACUAUGUUGGUGGAUAGCUUGAAAGUUAACAGUUUGUGUGUUUUCUGUAAUAGAAGUAGGGCAAUAGAUAUUAUGCCAAUUGAUGUCCAUCUAGUAUACGGUAUACCAAUUGGUGGAAAAGUGAUAGUUAAAUCAAAUGAUGAAGAUGAAGUUCAAGUUGAAGCAGUGAGAAAGCUUAUCAUGGUGGUAUAGAAUACCAAAUUAAAGAGAUUGGUAGAAAAAUUAAUGAAUAUAAAGACUCCUCUUGAUGAUGACUGGAAGAGGAGUUUCUUGGUAUUGGUGGUUAAUUCUUCUAUAAAGUCUAUGUCUGAUACACAACUCUUUCUCAGGUUCUUGUAUACAUCAGUUAACAUCAAUCAAAUUCCUAAAUAUGAUUGGUGUGCAUACACAAUAGAGAGUUUGGUGGAGUGGAGUCUUUAUUGGAAGGGUGAUACCAAAAGAUUUUUACCCAAACCAUUUCCAUUUCUUAUGGUAAUAUAUAUAUCAUGUUCUUAUUAUGGUAUUGAUUCAAUGUUUUUUUUUUAAAAUAUGUAUAAUAAUAACUUGAUAUUUGUUUUGUUUUAUUCAUAUGACAGGUUUGCUACUUUGACUGCCUUUAAGGCAUACUCUUAAGACUCCAAGACAUAUCCCAGUUAUUAAAGAGUGAGAUGUUGACUUAAUCAAAUAAUGUGUAGAUCUUGAAGUAAGACUUGGAUUUGGGCAUAUCAUAUUAUUGGAUAGAAUACAAGCCCUUAAUUAGCCCUAUGACUUUGCACUUUUAGAGGAAGCAAGCAUUUGCUUUUUAUGAAUUACUAGGGCGCACAGAGGGGCUAGCUCUUGUGGAGAAGUUAUAUUGGCGUGUGUUUACACCUUUGGUUUGGAUGAUAUUACGUACUAUUUUGUUUGUACCUAUGUGGUGGUUUUGUAGAAAGGAUUGAAAGCCACCAAAUUUUUUUAUGAAGAUUAUUUUUAAAAUCCUCAAAAGUUUGACAGUAUUAUUCCAAAAUUAUCAUUAAAUAAUAUUUAA